rnacentral:rRNA from 1 species
CCUGCCNUCCGCCUGGGAACUACGAGCAUUAGCUUAAAACCCAAAGGACUUGGCGGUGCUUUAGAUCCACCUAGAGGAGCCUGUUCUAGAACCGAUAACCCCCGUUCAACCUCACCUUUCCUUGUUUCUCCCGCCUAUAUACCACCGUCGUCAGCUUACCCUGUGAAGGUCUAAUAGUAAGCAAAAUUGGCACAACCCAAAACGUCAGGUCGAGGUGUAGCGUAUGGAAAGGGAAGAAAUGGGCUACAUUCCCUUGUACAGGGAAUACGAACGAUAAACUGAAAUGUUUUUCCAAAGGAGGAUUUAGCAGUAAGCAGAAAAUAGAGUGUUCUGCUGAAAAUGGCCCUGAAGCGCGCACACACCGCCCGUCACUCUCCCCAAGCCCAAGAACUUUAGUAAUUAAAACCAUACAAUCGCAAAGGGGAGGCAAGUCGUAACAUGGUAAGUGUACCGGAAGGUG